AAGUCGUAACAAGGUUUCCGUAGGUGAACCUGCGGAAGGAUCAUUAAAGAGUAAGGGUUAUUCGUAGCCCAACCUCCAACCCUUUGUUGUUAUAAUCUACCCCGUUUGCUUUGGCGGGAGCCGCUCGGUCUCGAGCUGCUGGUCUUCGGCCCGGCAAGUGCCCAGCCAGAGUCUACUCAAAACUCUUGUUUUAACCGGUCGUCUGAGUUAAACUUUUAAUUAGAUUAAAA
rnacentral:misc_RNA from 1 species